AUUGAACGCUGGCGGCAUGCCUUACACAUGCAAGUCGAACGGUAACAGGUCUUCGGAUGCUGACGAGUGGCGAACGGGUGAGUAAUACAUCGGAACGUGCCCGAUCGUGGGGGAUAACGGAGCGAAAGCUUUGCUAAUACCGCAUACGAUCUACGGAUGAAAGCAGGGGACCGCAAGGCCUUGCGCGGACGGAGCGGCCGAUGGCAGAUUAGGUAGUUGGUGGGAUAAAAGCUUACCAAGCCGACGAUCUGUAGCUGGUCUGAGAGGACGACCAGCCACACUGGGCAUGAGACACGGCCCAGACUCCUACGGGAGGCAGCAGUGGGGAAUUUUGGACAAUGGGCGAAAGCCUGAUCCAGCCAUGCCGCGUGCAGGAUGAAGGCCUUCGGGUUGUAAACUGCUUUUGUACGGAACGAAAAGCCUCUUUCUAAUAAAGAGAGGUCAUGACGGUACCGUAAGAAUAAGCACCGGCUAACUACGUGCCAGCCGCCGCCGCGGUAA
rnacentral:rRNA from 1 species